GACGAACGCUGGCGGCGUGCUUAACACAUGCAAGUCGAACGGAAAGGCCCUGCUUUUGUGGGGUGCUCGAGUGGCGAACGGGUGAGUAACACGUGAGUAACCUGCCCUUGACUUUGGGAUAACUUCAGGAAACUGGGGCUAAUACCGGAUAGGAGCUCCUGCUGCAUGGUGGGGGUUGGAAAGUUUCGGCGGUUGGGGAUGGACUCGCGGCUUAUCAGCUUGUUGGUGGGGUAGUGGCUUACCAAGGCUUUGACGGGUAGCCGGCCUGAGAGGGUGACCGGCCACAUUGGGACUGGGAUACGGCCCAGAAUCCUACGGGAGGGAGCAGUGGGGAAUAUUGCACAAUGGGCGGAAGCCUGAUGCAGCAACGCCGCGUGCGGGAUGACGGCCUUCGGGUUGUAAACCGCUUUCGCCUGUGACGAAGCGUGAGUGACGGUAAUGGGUAAAGAAGCACCGGCUAACUACGUG
rnacentral:rRNA from 1 species